GGCUGCACCCACUGCAUAUAGAGGUUCCCAGGCUAGGGGUUGAUUCAGCUACAGCUGCUGCCCUACACCACAGCAAUGUGGGAUCUGAGCUGUGUCUGCAACCUACACCACAGCUCAUGGCAACGUCAGAUCCCCAACCCACUGACUGAGGCCAGGGAUCGAACCUGCAUCCUCAUUGUUCCUAGUCAGGUUUGUUAACCACUGAGCCAUGAAGGGAACUCCUACUUUUAAUUUCUUAACAAGUUGAUAAUAUUCUGUUACCUAUAUAAUAUACCUAUAAAAUUUCAAAGCUUAUUGUACUCCCAUAUGUUUUUGGCAAGUUUAUGUUCAAAUGAACUCAAAACCUUAAAACACUGAAUUUCUUCUUUCUCAGAAAAUAUUUAUAAUGUAUUUUACCAAAAAAACAAAAACAAAAAACAAAAAAACUGGAGGGGUGGGUUUUUUUCUUCUUCUACUUCCUAAGGAUGUGAAUGCAAAAAGGCACUUUAAAAAACUUUCUUGAUUCCCCUCUUUCCACCCUAGGGAAGAAAUGUACAUUUCUGUUUCUAAGUUACACAUCUUUCCUGGCAUCUGACUUAUUCCCCAAAGAUUUUCAAUUCAAAAAAACAAUGUGUUUUCUGUGCAAAACACAUAACCGGUCUAAAUUUUAAUAGCAUCAAUAUUGUGCUGUUUUCCAUGUCUAGUGUAAUAUACAAAUGCAAGGGUGACCUUUAGAAAUUCCUCCUUCUGGAACGUAUCUCUCACUCAUUGAAAAGGACUGUGACCCUCUGUCAAGUGUUUUGGAAUGAUUCUGUGUGACUUCUGUUAUCUUUCAUGAUGGCUUCAGGGAUUGUCCACAUCGGUUCUAUCUUUGCAAAAGUCAUUUAUCGAGCCCUGGCUAUGCAGCUGUUACCGUCUGAAAUCCAUUUGAAUGGGGUAGUCUUUUAAUAUGAAAACCAAGAGAUAUUGUUAAUGGUAUAAUUAAAAGGGAUCAGAAAUAACGGUGCAAAUAUGAGCUCAGGAUAUACACAUGUUCUGUGUUAUAUUUGGGAGAUAGACUUUGGCAGAGAUACGUAAUUGUGCAUUGGACGCAUGCUCUGCCCUUUGAAAAAACGUUGUGUUUUCUUGCAAUAAGAAAAACAUGCACCUCUCUCUCUCAUGAGAGAGAUCCUUGGUGGAGCAAAUUAUCUGUAUUGAGUAAAAGCCAGAUGAUAUUCAGAGAGUGCCUUCACAGGACCCAAAGAAUCUACCCAGACCUAAUGGUGGUUUCCAGCAACUACCUGCCAAAGAAACAGUGACUAUUAUGGUCUGGUGGGCUCACAUAAAAGCGCAAAAGAAACUCACAGGAGUAUUUGUGCAUGUAUUUUUUUCCCAAAAUUAUGUCCCACAAAGUGGUGCAUUGUGAAAGAAUUGUGACAAGAAGGUUGGCCUAGGAUCAGAUUAUAUAUGUUUAUGAAAACAGGGGUAAAGGCACAGACAAGCACAAACAUAGUAGAACUAACUUUGGGUCCAUCUCCUGGUUGAAGAUGGAAGGAAACAUCUACAAUUAUAGCCAAGGUCAAAAGUCAGGUAUUAAUUUUGGCAACAUGAGAUGGUUGAGUAAACUUAUCAGUGUGACCCGAAUUUUACCAAUUCUCUGUGAUUCCCAGAGGCCUUGGCUUAUCUUUGGGUAGAGGCUCAGAAACAUCAAUUAUCUCAUUGGAUAUUUUUCUGGAAAUUAAAUAACGUUUCAGUAAGUGAAACUCUUGACAAAAAGAGUAAAGAUUGGUUUCCGUGGGUAUGGUGUGUGAGAAGGGAGCAUGUUUCCCGCAGCCAUAAUCCCUGAGAAGAAAUUCUGGAAUCACCUCGCCAUUAGCAAAUCUCAUAAUUUGGUAUUGACUCUCAAAUUUGGAUCUAUGUUUGCUAAAUGCAACAGAAACAAAAGGCAUUAAGACUCAAGAUCACUUGAUGAUCAUUGAUCUGUUACCGAUAAAAUGUAGGAUCCCAAAAGAUCCAUGGAAAGUUAAAGCGCCCCGAUCAGGAGCACUUCUGGGCAUGGAGAUCUUUCUGCGAAAAUCUCCAAAGGUAUUUUGCAAUACAUCUCCCUGUUUUUGUGUCCUCUGCAGAAGGCACCAUGCAUGGCACAUCUAAUCUCACCAUUCCUCACUAGCAUGAUGGAAAGCUCCCCUCAUACUCUGCCGCUGUGGCCCACUGUGCUUUGGCAUGUCUUUUCCUGGCCUUCAAGGAUUCCCAGCUCUCCCUGCAUGCAUUGGACAACAGGAAAAGAACUCUAAAAGUUUACACCUCAUCCUGUCGGAGCUUCCUGCUCCUCUAAGCAGUGCUCACAGCUUUAGCAACAAAGGUACCAGAUAGGGAUGCAUGCACUCUUGAAAUGCAUGGUCCCAGUUUUUUGCAUAAUUUAGUGCAGUACACCGUUUCUCCAGGAGGGGGGCUUUCAUUAUGGCUAUGCAGGAAGUCCGUUCCAUCUCUGCUUCAGUGUCUCACCUCUCCUCUCUGCGUAACAAAACAUUAACUUUUCUCAAGUUAGAUCACCAGGCAUUCCUAUUUGUCCCCAAAGGAGAUAUCACUUUCUAUGUCUUUUCUCUCUAUGGGUUGGGGGGCUGGUAAGGCUGUAAUUUCCAAUUUAUCAAGAUCUCAAUUCAACUAAAGCUAUGGUCCUACAUAAAAAUCUAACAAUGAAUUCCCUUUAGACCUCCUUCCAUCUCUAGGAACUAUUUCUUAGAAGUGAUGCAUUUUGAAAGUUAAGAGGAAAUACGGAAGAUGUUAAGAAAUUUUGAAAAUUGCAAGAGAUUAUAGUAAAUGCUGAAUUAAAUUUAUAAGAAGAGUGCUAGUAUUAGUCCGCUUCCAUUACUUUCAGCUGCAGGAACAAACAACUCUCAGAUUUUCAGUUUUACACAAUCACUCCGUUACUGCAGCAGGUCCAUUGUGACUCCAUUCUGGGAUCCAAGAUGAAGGGGGAAAGAAUCAUCUAAUACUGCUCUUCUAUGCCGGAGGGGAAACAAGGCAACAGCAGGACUAAGCAAUGGCUGUUAAAGCUUUCACUGAUCAAACCAAUUCGCAUGACCAAGAUUGAUGUCAGCAGAGUGAAGAGGUGUAAUCUUCUUAAAGAGGGAUGAGGAGAUAAUUGGAAAUAGACACAAUCUACCACAAUGCUGUACAGUGGGAAGCUGCCCUGGGUGAUUUUUUUUAUCCAUUUGGUAUAUAGUUCAGUCUCACGUGCCCACAAGACCUAAUAAGCAACAUCAGUGAGUUAAGGGAAUGAGGUGCAAGAAAAUGGGAUAUAUUGGCCUUGCCUGUUUCAUUCCAGGCCCCAAGCAUCACUUACAGGUUAGUGGAAAAUUUGCUAGGAAGACUCCAAUUAAGUCUUGGCUUUGCAUAUUCUCAAAAUUCAACCCUUCUCUGUUCCCUUGAGAAUGAAUGGAUUUUGUUAAUUGAGCCACAUUAUCCAUUCCUACCAGAGAAUUAUUGAUAAAUUAGGAUACAAACCUAAAGAGUAUUGAUCAAUAGGAUACAAAUAUAAUGUGGAGCUGAAAUAAUUAAGCCUUAAAUCCAGACACCCACAAACACUAUCAAAGUCUGUGGAAAGCCCAAUUGCUGAUCUGAAGAUGUUUUGUUAAAGCGAGAUCAAAACAAAAGGAAUUGACUAGUAAAACAGGAUAUAUCAUUUUUUACUAUAUUUGAGAUUUCAGAGUUUGUCCUUUUAGUUAUUUCUACUAAAUAAUGUCUCCCUCACUUUUGAAUAAUUCAAAGGUUAUUUCUGACAUAGCUUCACCCUCCAGUUUUCAUUACACUAAAUACCACUGAGAUAGGUUUGUGCUUGCAUUUAUCAAGUCGCCUUCCUUCAUUUCUCAUAAUCUAGUUCCAAGUUUGUAGGUGAUAUGAAACUGAUUAUAUUUUAGGUUAGUUGCUUUCUGGUAACAAAUAUUGAAUUUUUAACUCAUCAGGAAAAUAUUUGCAUUCUACAUUUUACAGUGAAUGACUUCUGACGAUUUACUGAAAACGUGUUUAUUCAACGUUUCUUAUAAGCUAAAGCAACCAGUUCUCCUAAUUAGACUGCCCAUAUGUCCAUAUGUGAUUGUUGUUUCAUUUUAAUUUUCUCUGAUAAUUUUAAGAUUGAUCCACUUAUUACAGGUCAUGGGCUACAUUCAAUUUACAGAUAGGAUUCCCCGAAAUAUUACUAAUGACUCAGAUCAAAGGUAGAAAAUUACUGGCUUCCCCUGAAUCUGUCUAUCGCUCAAUAAGGAUAUAUUUGCUUAUUGCCUCUAAACAUGCACAAAACCAGGGAAGACAUAGGCCCUGCCCUCAGAGAAUGUACAAGAGUAUGUAAGAGAAAUACAUAAAAAGCUAACAUGCUAGGCACUGUUUUAGAGGAAAUGUCAAGAAGUCCGAAGUUGUGUAGAAGACUGAAGAAAUCAGAAAAGCUUCUCUGAAGAUCUGGACUUUGAAGAAGGAGUAGGAUUUCGACGGGCAGUAUUGGGCAAAAGCACAUUCCAGACAUAAUAACUUUUCUUCUGGCUUCUGGCAGGGAAGAACUUCUGUGUCUUUUUCUCCUAUCAAAAUCAAAUUUUCAAAUCUCUUACCAAUUUGUAUAUGUUUUUACUCAUUAUCUUUACUUGAUUGAUGACAACUGCUAGUGCUAUUUGCAUAUUCAUCACUUAUUAAUUACUCUCAAAGUAUACUACCCCAAAAUGACAAUAUUAUGAUUUUCCAUGGCAAAAUUUCAAUUAUUUUAUUCUAAGUUUGGUCAGUGCUUAUCUGCAAAUUGUCAGUUUUCUGAAUAGAAGACGUAGCACACAGAAUGCUGUCUCCGAGCUAAUGGAAUAAUUUGGAGUAUAGUGGCUCAGAGUUCAACCAAGAAAACAAAAAGCAGAAUGUUUUAUGGAAAGGCUGAUUGCUGUGCAUUUGCAUUGGAU
rnacentral:lncRNA from 9 species